ACCUAUCAUCAACAAAUCAACAAAUUUCUCUUUACACAAAAAUGGCUAUAUGCAGGCCAUGUUUCUCUAUAAAUCCUCCAUAAAAAAUUCAUCUAUAUUUUCAUGUAUCUUCUUCACUAGAGAACAAAAAUCCCUACAUCUCUUCAUCUCACCUUUUUUUUUCUUCUCUAAUAUCUAGUAUGGAAUUAAAACCUUUCUCCCUCAAUCCUUGAUGGAUUGCAACCACACCCAAGCAAUUUCUUUCCCCUCUCAGUUACAUUUUUCAUAUUAUUUUCAAAGCUAUGAAUUUGAUUUAUGGUGGAAGAUGCUAAAUAUAUGUUAUAGACAUUUUUGUGUUGAUGGAAGUAGAGGAGUGGAAGUAGACAUUUUUGUUGCAUCUAAGUUGAUAGGAGUUUGGUACUCUCUAAACUGAAAGAUUUAUAAUCUCUGCUGCCCACAACUUUAUUUAUCACAACUCAAAGGAACAAAUUUUUCUCAUGUUAGCUAGUCGGUAGUUGUGUAUAAAACACGAGUAAAGAAGAAGUUUUUGAAGAUACAGGUACUUCCAUCAUAUUAUCCAUGUUUGUUUUACUUUUAUGUUUUCUUUUUCAUUCAUCUUACGCAACUAUUAUGAUUUUUUUUAUAUGGUUUCAAUUAUUAUUAUUAUUGUCCCAAUUGAUUAAUGAAUGAAUGGCAGGGGUGUUUACAACUGAGAUAGAU